rnacentral:rRNA from 1 species
CCCUUAGAUGUUCUGGGCCGCACGCGCGCUACACUGAUGCAUUCAACGAGUUUCUUCCUGGUCCGAGAGGAAUGGGUAACCUUUUGAAAGUGCAUCGUGAUAGGGAUAGACUAUUGCAAUUAUUGGUCUUCAACGAGGAAUUCCUAGUAGGCGCAAGUCAUCAGCUUGCGUCGAUUACGUCCCUGCCCUUUGUACACACCGCCCGUCGCUCCUACCGAUUGGGUGUGCUGGUGAAAUGUUCGGAUCGGCCGUUUGUCGCGGUUUCCGCGGCUCGUGGCUGAGAAGUUCAUUAAACCCUCCCACCUAGAGGAAGGAGAAGUCGUAACA